rnacentral:rRNA from 1 species
CAACGUGGGUAACCUGCCUUAUAGUGGGGGAUAGCCUUUCGAAAGGAAGAUUAAUACCGCAUAAGAUUGUAGUAUCGCAUGAUAUAGCAAUUAAAGGAGCAAUCCGCUAUAAGAUGGACCCGCGUCGCAUUGGCUAGUUGGUGAGGUAAUGGCUCACCAAGGCGACGAUGCGUAGCCGACCUGAGAGGGUGAUCGGCCACAUUGGGACUGAGACACGGCCCAGACUCCUACGGGAGGCAGCAUG